AGCUGUCUAACCUGAAGUAAAUGUCUCUCAGUAAUUCUGAUUAUGUUCCUGGCAAACCCAAUGGCUAUAACAGCAUUGAAAAUGUUAUCAAGACAUAUUUCCUGGCAAAGUUCCUGAAUUGUUUGAUUUAUGUCUUCAUCUAACCAAGUAACACAAUCAUGUGCCCUCUGACCACCCAGGGCACAAAUGCACCCCCAAUAGUUAUCAAAAAGUCUCCUCCUCAAGCAGUAUUUCAUUAUGCCAUAAUAGGAAAUGCACACAAGAGACUUCAUGAAGAUUUUACAUUCUUGAUGUGAAACAGGACCUGAUGAUUCAAUGCCUAAUUGUCUUCUGAACUCUUCAGCCUCAUCUGGUCUCUGUUCUCUGCAGAAGAAUACGCUUCCUUCUGGUGUCAUCUGUACAGGUGUACUGGUAAUGGCUUCACAGUCCUUGGAAUUUUCCAAGACUCUCAUGCAAGCACAGCUUGAGUAUAAAGGUAAAUAUAAUUUCACAAGCCCCCUCUCACAAAUUGCUUGUGAUCUUGACCACAAACUGCUUUGCUAUGUGUCAGAAAGCUAAGAUCAGCAGUAUGGAGCUGACGUCCCAGGAGGCUGAUACUUCCAAUGCCCAUAGACCCAGCUGGACCCAGAAAGAACUGGAAGACUUAAUUGACAUUUGGUUGGAGCAAAGGAUCAUAGACAGGCUGGAAAGUAGGAGGAAUAAGCCUGUUUAUGUUGAGAUGUAGGUGCAUGUAGGUGCGAGGGCACAAUCGUGACUGGACCUAGGUUCAGUGCAAGAUCAAGUCCCUGAGAUCUGUGUUUUACCAAGUCAAAGAUAAGAACUCUUGUUCUGGGGCAGGUUGCACAAUUUCUCCCUUUUACGACAAGCUGUCCACUAUUCUCUCUGAUGAUAUGGGCGACAACCCAGGUAUGGAGACUUUCAGCACCGGGGUUGGGCAAGAGGAGGAGGUGGAGGAGAAGCAGUAGCCCCACCUGAGGGUGAAACCAUGGACAUGAUUCAGCUGUACGCAAACCACUCCCUGCUCCAUGAUGACCGUGGCUGGCAGGAAGAACCAUUGAUCACCAUACACUUAGUGCCACUUUGCCCCUCCAUUCCAUGGACUAGCACAGAUGAUGAAGCGGAGGAGGUGGACAGUCAGGAAGAAGCCCAUGCGGCUGAUACAUCAUCUACUGCUACUGAGACCCAAGAACAUGCUGAACCUGCUAGCAUGGGCAGUGGCAGCUGUGGACCUGUUUCCGAAGUGGGUAUUUGUAAGUUUUGGGUAGUACAAGUGGUGCCUCACUGUUGUGGGGUCUGAUUCUGUGCCUGCCGUUAUGUUCACUGCACAGUGGAGGUGGUGGGUGUACUUUCCUCAACCUGGGUGGAAUGCAACCAUUGCUUUUUUCUUUGUUUAUCAGCCACUGCGACCCAUGGCAGGGAUUUUCACAGCAGGCAGUGAUGGUCCCAUGAAACCUCACUCAAGGUUUUGGCAGAGUCCUCACUAGCCAGAGUGACAUGCUCAGAUGCUUGGCAGGACAAACUCCUCAAGUUACUGUCCCAGCGCCAGAGUGUCUGAGUUUUUUUUCCACACCAAAACGAGGUUGCUGGGGGCCUUGCCCUGCUGAAGGACUAUAAAUUGGUGGGGCAGAGGUUAAGGUGUGAGUUUGCUGUAUCGAUGAGGCAGGUUUGAGGUGGGUGAGGGAUGACAGUACAGUGGAGGCAGAGAAGGAUUCAUCCCAGGCACAAGACUUACCCCUAGGGGAGAACAGCAAUGCAAAUCCAGGGUUCAAGAAGACUGCAGGCUUAUCAAGUGGCGUACAGUGAAGCUUCCAGUGCUAUUUGAUGCCUGCACGUCUGUGACAUGUGACUCGAAAGAGGACAUGGCAAAGUGCUCCUCGUCACCUUUGGUAAGUGACAUCUGACACUAGAAGCAACAGCCCCGGGCAUAGUGGUUUGGGGGCCCCAUGGAGACAGGAAGAGUGGGCGGGGGGACUCCUCAGUGCCACUGUCAGCCUUGCAUCCAGACACUCACCAACUCCCCUCCCCACCCCCAAAAGCCACCGCGGCACAUGGGAUUGGCUCUGUGUGGGGGGAGGCUAAUUCGUACCAUGGUUCUCCAGUGCCCAGGGGCCAAGCUGGGGGUGCCACUGCCCUUGCUCCUGUGUGCCCCAGACAAGCUGCCUUUGGUGGCAGCUUCAGCGAUGAGGGGGGAAGGGCAGAGGGAGGCUGAGCAGUGUGGCACCCCCAGGCACCUACCAAUGGCGCCCCCUUUGCAUCUGUGCCUGAGGUGGCUGUCUCACCUGCUACCACCAGUACACCACUGCCCUGCACCCUGAUAAGGUCAUCUCUGGUUGGGUGGAAUGCAUUGCUUAGUUCAAAUUUAUUAUAAAUGGGACUGGUGGAAUUUUAUGGGCAUGAAGGAAGGUACGCGAGGUACACAAGAGGCACCAAUACAAAUUCCCAGUGCUUUUUCUAGGCUCCCUCUGGUUUUUAGAUCCCCUUCUACUGCUAGUUGCAGGCUGAUCGAUGCCUGUUGGUGUGACAAAAGGCAGAAAAAGAAAGGAAGAAAGAGAAAAUGAAGAGGAUGACAACGCUUCCUUCAGAAUUCUCUCAACAACUGAAUUAUUAUGCAUUAUAAUUAUAGUUGACUUUCAUCCUAUAGACUUAUAUAGACUUAUAAUAUAAUAACAAGUAAUGCUAAUAAUAGGAAGCAAUAAUAAUAUUAAUUCGAAUAGUAAUAUAUUAAUAAGAUAUGUAAUAAUAUUAAUAUUAAUGAAGAUUUAUUAAUGGUAAAUAAUAAUUGUAAUGGUUUGAUUCCUUAACAUGGCAUUUCAAAGCAGGUAGAUCUGCCUUAUCACUGCCUCCACCUGCCCCCACAGCUGCCUCUUGCAGCAUGCAUGCCAUGCAUCCUGGGCACACAUCACACACAUCCUGGGCCUCCACCAUAUAUAUAUUGCCAAUAUAUGAUAUAGACUUAUGUUAUAUAGACUUAUAAUUACAGUUUGAUUCUUUAUGAUGAGAAAGCAGAUAGUGAGCAUAAGGCAGGUGAUUAUGUGCCCUUCCUCCCUGCCUCUUCCCCCAAGGCAGUGAUUGCCCACCUCCUGGUUACUGGCCAUAUUAAUAAGCAAGCUCCUCCCUAGGUUUCUGUAUUCUAGGGGCAGGCAAUUAUUUCAGGAGGAGGGCCGCUUACUGAGUUUUGGCAAGGCAUCGAGGGCCACAUGAUAGGCAGCCAGGGCAGAUAAAUAUUAACUUUCUAAAUUUUUUAGGGGCCCCACAGGCCAGAUAGAAUGGCCUGGCAGGCCGCAUUCGGCCUGUGGGCCGCAUUUUGCCCACCCCUGCUCUAUUCCCAUGACUGGGCCUCCUGGCUUGGGGAAAAGUACUGAAUUCUGAGCCUGAUACUGCACCAGGAGGAGGGCAAGGCUUUCUUUUCACCCUCCUCCUUGUUUUCUGGUGAGGCCACAAAUGCAGCUGAGGCUAUUUUUAAUAGGAUACUAUGCAGUAUGAAGUGUAUCAUUGAGGGGACUCAUAUUCAUUGAGUGACAGUCCCCUCACUAGCCUACUAUCAAGCGACGGUCGCUGUAAAGAAGCACAUAAAGAAAUGAAUAUUAACUAGGUAAUGAAUGUGUACUACAGUAAAUACAUACAUUAUUAAGACUUAUGAAUUAUUAAGAAUUACAUUUACUCACUGUAAUAUUUGAAUUGUUGAUGGCCACUAGUACUGCAGGGGCUUCUCUUCUGUCUACCUGAAUUAUUGCACAAGUUCUGCAGGUUCUUUUCAUAUUAUUCUCACCCUCCUCCUGGUUGCUGGCCACAAGUACUGUUGAAGCUUCUCUUCUGUCUACUACUUGAAUUGCAGCGGCUUUCUUCACGGGUUUUGGCCUGAGCAUUAGUUUGAGUAUAGUAAGAGUUGCACAAGUUUUGCAGAUCCGUUUCAUAUUAUUCCCACCCUCCUCCUGGUUGCUAAUGAGUGUAUUAUGAAAUUGUAAUUUGAGAUUUGUUGCUGGCCACAAAUCUGGAGGCUUUCUUUUUGGUUGCUGGCCAAACCCUCUGACAAAUUCUCUCCCGGGUCUGGGUAGUAGGCCCAUGCCUGCAGUCUCUUCGCCCACCUCUGCCUUACACCUCUUCAUUGCACCUUGUAACUUUUGAAUUGUUGCUGGCCACAAAAGCAGCCGAGGCUUGAGUUUCUUCUCUGAAUUGCAGAGACUUUCUUCUUGGUUGCCAAGCCCUCCUGCUUUUUUCACUGGCUUUGGCCCGAGCAUCAGCUUGAGUAUGGUAAGAGUUGUUGAAUGCAUGUCUUCUGACUGGAGUAAAUACAGAACCGUGUCUUCAGGCCCACUUCAUAUUCUUCUCGCCUUCCUCUUGGAUACUGGCUAUGUCCCAGCAAAUUUAGACUGGGGUACAUGUUUUCUGACGGGGGAAAAGCUUCUUACUGGGGAAAACCCUCCCUGCCGCCUGUAUCAGCACGAGUUGCACAAGUUCUUCAGGCCUAUUUCAUUCAUUUCUGCAGCUGCAGCUGUGCUCAGGAGCUAUGACCACUGCAGUGGACUAGGGCUGGGGGCACAGGUGGGGCCUUUCAUAUCACCCACUCCUUGAGUUUCUUUUCCGAAUUGCAGAGACUUUCUUCUUGGUUGCCGGCCAAGCCCUCCGGCAAAUUCCCUCCUGGGGUCCAGGUAGAAAUGCUGGCUGCACACUAGUACUGGCCAAGAAUUUGACCUCUGUCCAUCUGAUAACAGUCCAUCCUGCAACUCUUUCCAGUAAUCCCACGACUCCAUAAAAGUCACACAAUCAUCAGCUCUCUGAAAACUCACUCCCCAUUAACCAUGCAUGCCAAUUCUACCUAUCAAAGAAAACAUGACACAUGUAUAGAUCAAAAAUAAAACACUGAUGGGACACAGCCAGUAACCAGUAAGAGGGGCUGGCUGGCUGCUGCCUCCCUUUCACCCUCCCCCCAUGCAGCCAUACAUCCAUCCCUCACCAGGUGACAUACUGCAUGAGAUUGGAGAAAGGGAACACUCACACUUAUUAUACAACGACAGUUGCUUGAUGGUAGUAAUACUGGGGGGAAUAUCAAGGGAUUAUUCAACGGACCUUGGGAGCAUAUUGUGAAUUGGUGUUUUAUCCUAUUGUAUUGUGUUUGCUGGCAAUGGCUGUAAUGUCCUUAGGAAAAAAUGUAUUCCCCGGUUGUCUACCAAUGGCAUUGUUGAGUAAAACUAAAAUGUGUAUACUGUUUUAGCUUUAUUGUGAUUUCUCAACCGAAUUGAAUGAAAUUCAAUUUAUUGUGAAAAAAAUAAUGACGAGGAACAAAAAAUGCUGAUUCGUACUUGCU